ACAAGUCCAAAACUUCUAAGUUAGUCAACUUAGAUAAAUCAGGUAUGGUUCCAUUCAUGUUAUUUCCAGUGACAUUCAAGAUUUUGAGAUUGGUGCAGUUGGUUAUUUCACUUGGAAGGUUCCCUGACAAAGAAUUUGAAGGUAGUACCAAAGAAGUGAGGCUUUUGAGUGAAAAAAUUGAAGGGGAAAUCACCCCAGAAAUGGACUUAUUAUAAAGAAUUUGAAGGUAGCACCAAAGAAGUGAGGCUUUUGAGUGAAAAUAUUGAAGGGGAAAUCACCCCAGAAAUGGACUUGUUGUCAAGGGAAAUUUCAGUAACAAGACCAGUCUUUUGAUCACAAGUAAUUCCAUUGAAUUUACAAGGA
rnacentral:lncRNA from 1 species